rnacentral:rRNA from 1 species
CCUACGGGUGGCAGCAGUGAGGAAUAUUGGUCAAUGAGCGCGAGCCUGAACCAGCCAAGUCGCGUGAGUGAAGAAGUAUUUCGGUAUGUAAAGCUCUAUCAGCAGGGAAGAAAGAAAUGACGGUACCUGACUAAGAAGCCCCGGCUAACUACGUGCCAGCAGCCGCGGUAAUACGUAGGGGGCAAGCGUUAUCCGGAUUUACUGGGUGUAAAGGGAGCGUAGACGGUUACGCAAGUCUGGAGUGAAAGGCGGGGGCCCAACCCCCGGACUGCUUUGGAAACUGUAUAACUGGAGUGCAGGAGAGGUAAGUGGAAUUCCUAGUGUAGCGGUGAAAGGCGUAGAUAUUAGGAGGAACACCAGUGGCGAAGGCGGCUUACUGGACUGUAACUGACGUUGAAGCUCGAAAGCGUGGGGAGCAAACAGGAUUAGAUACCCUUGUAGUC